rnacentral:lncRNA from 1 species
UAGUGGAGCACGCAGCAGCAGCAUAUCUCGUAGCCUACUCGGUUGUCUAAAAUGUUCCCAGCCAGUGCCAUUUCUGCUGUGCAAAGAUUGGUGAUCUCAGUUCCAUUGGUCUGUGAAUGAGACCACAACCUUAAAUCUUGUAUGUUUGGUUGUUUUAGAGAGCAUCUAAGACAAUGGAUCCUAUUAGUAACAGCUUAAAAAGUAGCUUCUCUAUAUGUCUCUUUGGGAAUCACAUUCUAGUCAGAUGCUAAACUUGGAAGAAACUGAGUCUUAAUCAAUAGCUUCUCAUGUUUUAACUCUGUUUACAGAAGAAGCAUUCCAAUACUCCAUAAUAUAUAACAAUUGAAGAAGUUUCAUGUGCCUAGGAGAAAUGAAACUAAUUUAACUACAAAGCAGUACUGAGGAACCGAUUUGACGCUCUUCUCGAUUUGAAAGGCUAGAAGCGGCAAGAGUCUCUUCUUUUAACGCUCUUCUCGAUUUGAAAGGCUAGAAGCGGCAAGAGUCUCUUCUUUUCCCCUUCCAUCUUCUGCCAUUACUCUUAGAAACUCUUCAAGAGCACACUGCAUCCACUCAUACCGACACAGUUCCAA